rnacentral:rRNA from 1 species
UACGUAGGGGGCAAGCGUUGUCCGGAAUCAUUGGGCGUAAAGAGCGCGUAGGCGGCCCGGUAAGUCCGCUGUGAAAGUCAAGGGCUCAACCCUUGAAUGCCGGUGGAUACUGUCGGGCUAGAGUCCGGAAGAGGCGAGUGGAAUUCCUGGUGUAGCGGUGAAAUGCGCAGAUAUCGGGAGGAACACCGGUGGCGAAGGCGGUUCUCUGGGACGGUACUGACGCUGAGACGCGAAAGCGUGGGGAGCGAACAGG